ensembl:snRNA U4 U4 spliceosomal RNA
AGCUUUAGUGACAGUAUCAUAGCCAAUGAGGUUUAUCAAAGGCAUGAUUAUUGCUAAUUGAAAACUUUCCUCAAUAUUCCACCAUGACAACUUGAAAGAUAAUCACCAUUGGCAAUUUUGACAGUCUCUAUGGAGA